rnacentral:rRNA from 1 species
UCUGGUGACGAUGGCGAGAGGGAAACACCCGUACCCAUACCGAACACGGAAGUUAAGCCUCUCAGCGCCGAUGGUACUUGGCGGGAGACCGCCUGGGAGAGAAGGACGUUGCCAGAU